rnacentral:rRNA from 1 species
GGGAACGUACCUUUUGGUUCGGAACAACACAGGGGAACUUGUGCUAAUACCGGAUAAGCCCUUACGGGGAAAGAUUUAUCGCCGAAAGAUCGGCCCGCGUCUGAUUAGCUAGUUGGUAGGGUAACGGCCUACCAAGGCGACGAUCAGUAGCUGGUCUGAGAGGAUGAUCAGCCACAUUGGGACUGAGACACGGCCCAAACUCCUACGGGAGGCAGCAGUGGGGAAUAUUGGACAAUGGGGGCAACCCUGAUCCAGCCAUGCCGCGUGAGUGAUGAAGGCCCUAGGGUUGUAAAGCUCUUUUGUGCGGGAAGAUAAUGACGGUACCGCAAGAAUAAGCCCCGGCUAACUUCGUGCCAGCAGCCGCGGUAAUACGAAGGGGGCUAGCGUUGCUCGGAAUCACUGGGCGUAAAGGGUGCGUAGGCGGGUCUUUAAGUCAGGGGUGAAAUCCUGGAGCUCAACUCCAGAACUGCCUUUGAUACUGAAGAUCUUGAGUUCGGGAGAGGUGAGUGGAACUGCGAGU